rnacentral:misc_RNA from 1 species
UUUUGCAUGAUCAUCUACUACCUUUCCACAAUUAUUAACUGAAAGGGGUUCAUGGGAAGGGGUGGGAAAUCAAGAAGAAAAUUCAGAUGGGCAACAUCAAUCACCAUUAAACAUGAUAUUCCCAAAAUUACUACCUAUUAAACCUCCAAAUCCAAUAAAUUAUGAGAAAGAGACCUGCUAGGGUCGGUCGAGAAACAAAAUUUACAUAUGAGAACUUACGUUUCCCUUGAAAAUGUAAUUAAAAUAUAAAUGAAUGCAUUCCCGGAUUUGCCUUCUUGUUUCAUUUUGCCUGAACAUAAUGGCAGUUUCAAAAUUAUAUCGAAAACAGAUGCGUUUCAUUCCCAAGUUCAAUUAGAAUGCACUUAGUUCCUUGCCAAAGGACAGAAUAGAGUCCUAUUUCAGCUUUGAGGAUACACAUUCCACUUCCAAGGCAAACCAAUGAAGCCUUGGAGUGGCAAAUAGCUCUCUUUUUUAGACCGAUAAGUGAUUCAAAACAAUUUGAUUUCAUUCUACUCGUUCAGUAAAAAAAAUUUGUCAAGUGAAUUUCGUACCACUUAAAAUUCCCAAAAACACCAUCACCAGUCUUUCAUACCAGGCUCUAAAUUCUAACCUAAGAAAGAAAUAAAUGAAACAAAAAGAAAUACCUCAGACUUGGCAUGAACAAUCUCUUGAAGUUCACAAGGGAACAACGAGUUGGACAUCUGCUGAAUGGCCUUCAAUAUCAGAAGCUCUUUAAAAAUAAUUCUUAUAAUUGCUAGAAAUACUCAUAAAUUCUCAGGAGUGAGUCCUUGUCGGAAAAUGAUGCUUAGUGUAAAAUUGUAUUAUAUUUGAUUCCUAUGUUAAAUUAGUGUAAAAACUCAAAAUGAUAAGACCCUUCAACCCUCCAUCAAAACGAAGAACAGCAGAUUGGACAAAGGUAAAACUAAAAUUAUGAGAAGAUAAUUUUGGAAAUAAACAAAAAAAACACCAUGAGAAACAAAUCCACAAAAGAUAUAAAAUUAACUAUAACGAAGAAGAAGAAAAAAUACAUCACAUACCCAGAAUUAAAGAGAGAAAAGGAAAGCCGAAUGACAGGAAACAAAAGGAACACUGAAAUAAUAAAUAGAAAAACAAAGAAAGAUUAAAAGACAUACAACCAUACAAAGAAAUUAUUGAAACAUACACAAACUGUACCAAAGCGUGGGGUUAAACAUAAUUACCCUAAAAGCAGGCCUAAAAGAAGAAUAGUGAGUUUACGAUUUGGCAUGAUGAUUUCACUAUUUGGCAUGCAAUCAUUGAUAAUUAAAAAAAAAAUGGAAGAUAUAAAAUUUGCAAAUGGAAAGGAAUAGAGAAUUAAUUAUUACCCAUCAAAUCGAGGAGAAAAACCCACUUGAAGGAGCAAAACCAAGAAGCAGAUGCUUUCUGUGCAAUGGCAACCAGCAGUCUGGAACAAUGCUGUUUUGUGAAGAGAGCACAUCAAAUGGGGAAUAGGGAAGGAAUUGCACGUACAGGAAAG